UUUUAUUUGAGAGUUUGAUCCUGGCUCAGGAUGAACGCUGGCGGCGUGCCUAACACAUGCAAGUUGAGCGAUUUACUUCGGUAAAGAGCGGCGGACGGGUGAGUAACGCGUGGGUAACCUACCCUGUACACACGGAUAACAUACCGAAAGGUAUGCUAAUACGGGAUAAUAUAUUUGAGAGGCAUCUCUUAAAUAUCAAAGGUGAGCCAG
rnacentral:rRNA from 1 species